GAGGGGGAGGAGGACAAGGAGGUGCCCUCACAAGCAGUUACUCAUCCCUCAGGAGAAAGAGAGAGAUUCCGAACUGGGAGCCCUUUUGGACUAACGCCUAUGAGGCGAAGGAACUCCAUGAUGAAGACAUGUUCUUCAAGAAAGUCAAAGCUGCUGAUGCCACCAGAUGUGGCCAGAGGCUCGUCUGUGAGCUGGCUGCAAGGUCUGCUACAGACUUGCAGUUGGAUGAGCUUACCUUGCUGCAGGUUCUAAGAGAGAAGCGUCCACGAUUCACCAAGAGAGGCGGUGCAAGAGCAGCCUACGAAUUCGCGAUGGACGCCGGCUACUCUGGGGCAGCCUGCCAGGACCUGUACUCGACGUGUCCUUACACGAGUCAACAUAUGAUGGCCAUCGUGAGAUCGGUGUCCAGGAAGGUUUCCUCCAUGAUGGAGGAUAGCCUGUAGUUCAAGUUAGGAAUUUAUUGUAACUAUUUCUCCCUUUAUUAUAUGGUUUUUGUUUCCACAGAUUUCAGUACUGAGUAUUGCCACACCAGGAAACAAUAAUUUCCCUCCAUCUCACACCAUAUCUCAAGACAGAUUUCAGAAUCGAAAUAGCAAGUUUCCGAGACAAAUUGAGGAUCUUUUUAGCCCAUAGCUUCCUACCUUCAUUUUAUUCAGAGGAUCUUAUUCAGUUUUCUUCACAUUUUUUUUUUUUUUUUUUUUUUUUAAAUAAUCGACUGAGGGUUCUAUAUCUCAAGACAGAUAUAUCAGAAUCGAAAUAGCAAGUUUCUUAGACAAAUUGAGGAUCUGUUUACUUCACAGCUUCCUACCUUCAUUUUAUUCAGUUUUCUUCUCAUUUUAUUUUUUCUUUUAGAAAUAAUCGACUGAGGGUUCUAGUGCGGAACCGGUACUGUCAUGUUAAGCCAAUAUCUUUCUAUAUUAGGAAAAUAUUUAUUUAUCUACUAUGCCAAGAGUCGAAUUAGAAAAAAAAGUGUAGGGAUUUUUUCAAAUGCCUUUAAACUAGGAAGAUAAAGUUUAUUUUUGUAUCUUCUCUUGUAUAUACUUAUUGUAUGAUUCUUUAGUAGUCAUCAACUUUAGGUAAA